CCUGAGAAACCCAAAAGAUCGAAUGGGGAGAUUCAUCGUCAGCGUUCUUGGUACGUGUACGGAACGGGAUGUCGGAGACUUCGGUCUUCAGGCACUCGUCCGUAUGUUUUUUAUUGCCUCGAUCGUCGGCGUGCACUUCUCCCCUAGUAGGACGUCGCGACCCGUUGGGUGUCGGUCUACGGCCCGGGCGGUAGCCUGUCUCGUGUUCGCUUCGCGGCGUUACGCGGUUCAGACCCCCGGUUGCCCGACCGGCUGCUCGGCGGUACUCGCACGGUAUCUGGCCGCAAAUAUUCGAACUGCGUCCGGCCCGUCGCAAGCGAGGCAAAGUGUUUCCCGGUUGUACGGAUCUAAUGCCGUCACCGGGCCUUGCCAGCUGUUGGCAGACGGUGUCCUAGGACUGGCUAAUAAAAUUAUGAUACCGGUCGGCGACGCUACUGCUUUGGGUACUUUCAGGACCCGUCUUGAAACACGGACCAAGGAGUCUAACAUGUGCGCGAGUCAUUGGGAACUAUUAAGCCUAAAGGCGCAAUGAAAGUGAAGGUAGGCCUUGCGCCGACCGAGGGAGGAUGGGCCGCGUCACGAUGCGGUCCCGCACUCCCGGGGCGUCUCGUUCUCAUUGCGAGAAGAGGCGCACCCAGAGCGU
rnacentral:rRNA from 1 species